GACGAACGCUGGCGGCGUGCUUAACACAUGCAAGUCGAACGGAAAGGCCUGCUUUCCCUUGUGGAUUGCGGGUACUCGAGUGGCGAACGGGUGAGUAACACGUGAGUGAUCUGCCCCCAACUUGGGUAUAAGCCUGGGAAACUGGGUCUAAUUCCCGAUAGGACUGCAGGGUGGUGCCUGUGGUGGAAAACGAUUUUCUAGUGGUUGGGGAUGAGCUCGCGGCCUAUCAGCUUGUUGGUGGGGUAAUGGCCUACCAAGGCGGCGACGGGUAGCCGGCCUGAGAGGGUGGACGGCCACAUUGGGACUGGGAUACGGCCCAGACUCCUACGGGAGGCAGCAGUGGGGAAUAAUGCACAAUGGGCGGAAGCCUGAUGCAGCGACGCCGCGUGGGGGAUGACGGCCUUCGGGUGGUAAACUCCUUUCGACCGCGAGGAAGCCACCUGGUUGGAAGGGUGGUGACGGUAGUGGUAGAAGAAGCACCGGCUAACUACGUC
rnacentral:rRNA from 1 species